GACGAACGCUGGCGGCGUGCUUAACACAUGCAAGUCGAACGGAAAGGCCCUGCUCUUGCGGGGCGCUCGAGUGGCGAACGGGUGAGUAACACGUGAGUAUCCCGUCCCUGACUUAGGGAUAACUUCAGGAAACUGGGGCUAAUACCGGAUAGGAGAUCUUGCUGCACGGGGGGGGUUGGAAAGAUUCGGCGGUUGGGGAUGGACUGGCGGCUUAUCGGCUUGUUGGUGGGGUAGUGGCGUACGAAGGCUGUGACGGGUAGCCGGCCUGGGAGGGGGGACGGGCACAAUGGGACUGAGGUAGGCCCCAGUCGCGUACGGGAGGCAGCGGGGGGAAAUAUUGCGCAGUGGGGGGGAGCGUGUUGCGACAGCCCCGGGAGCGGAAUACCGGCUUUCGGGUUGAAAACCACUUUCGCAUGAGACAAGGCGUGAUUGACGGUACUGGGUAAAGAAGCACCGGCUAACUACGUG
rnacentral:rRNA from 1 species